rnacentral:rRNA from 1 species
UAACCUGCCCAAGAGAUCGGGAUAACACCUGGAAACAGAUGCUAAUACCGGAUAACAACAGAUGAUGCCUAUCAACUGUUUAAAAGAUGGUUCUGCCAUCACUCUUGGAUGGACCUGCGGUGCAUUAGCUAGUUGGUAGGGUAACGGCCUACCAAGGCGAUGAUGCAUAGCCGAGUUGAGAGACUGAUCGGCCACAUUGGGACUGAGACACGGCCCAAACUCCUACGGGAGGCAGCAGGC